CCAAAGAUGGCGGGCCUCCGUGCCCCCGUCCCCAACCCAUUGUUGACUCAAACCCUUUUUGCCUCGGGGGCAGAGCGCCCGCCGCCGCCCCCGGAGGACCAUUUAACGCUGUCUUUUUGCGUCGGAGUAUUGAUUAAAUGAAUGA
rnacentral:misc_RNA from 1 species